ensembl:lncRNA
GCUGUGUGUGUGUGUGUGUGUGUGUGUGUGUGUGUGUGUGUGUGUGUGUGUGUGUGUGUGUGUGUGUGUGUGUGUGUGUGUGUGUGUGUGUGUGUGCGCGUGUGUGCGUGUGUGCGUGUGUCUGAGUCCAGGAUCUUAUGUGGAUAUUAUCUUUUGUGCUUUGAUCUACCCUGGUUAUAAUGUGUCUUUCUCCCCCUCUGUCCUUUAACAUACUGUAUGUUGUGUGUAUGUGUGUUUCUGUGGGUGUGAGUUUGCAGGGGUCACUGUGUCAGACAAAAAUAACAGAAGAGCAGAGAAGAGAAGAGAGGAGUCUACCUGCACACCCCAGGGAGUCUGUCUCUCUGCAGCUCUCAGCACAGGAAGAAGAGGAGCACGGAGCCCAGCAGAAGGCAUCAGUGAGUCGAGCUGAAAGAGAAACUGGAGCAGGAGAUCGCUGAACUGAGGAGGCGAGAUUCUGAGCUGGAGCAGCUCUCACAUGAGGAGGAUCACGAACAUUCCAUCCAGGUGUUCCAGGGCCUCGGCAUGCUGCCUACAUUUAACGGUUUGUCCAGCAUCACUCUUGAUCCACAACAAUCCUUCGAGGACUUGCAGAAUUCUCUCUCUGCCUUAAAACACUGUGUAGAAGAACUCUGCAAGAGGGACACUCUGUAAGCUAAUUCAAGUGAGACAUGCCAUGCCAUGUGAACAUAAAAAUAAAAUGAGAAUUAACAAGUUGGUUUGAUGACAUAAGACUGGAUUGAUAAAACUGGAGGAGCUAAUAUCACACACACACACACACACACACACACACACACACACA